rnacentral:rRNA from 1 species
UGGGGAAUAUUGCACAAUGGGCGCAAGCCUGAUGCAGCCAUGCCGCGUGUGUGAAGAAGGCCUUCGGGUUGUAAAGCACUUUCAGCGAGGAGGAAGGGUAGUGUGUUAAUAGCACAUUGCAUUGACGUUACUCGCAGAAGAAGCACCGGCUAACUCCGUGCCAGCAGCCGCGGUAAUACGGAGGGUGCAAGCGUUAAUCGGAAUUACUGGGCGUAAAGCGCACGCAGGCGGUUUGUUAACUCAGAUGUGAAAUCCCCGCGCUUAACGUGGGAACUGCAUUUGAAACUGGCAAGCUAGAGUCUUGUAGAGGGGGGUAGAAUUCCAGGUGUAGCGGUGAAAUGCGUAGAGAUCUGGAGGAAUACCGGUGGCGAAGGCGGCCCCCUGGUCAAAGACUGACGCUCAGGUGCGAAAGCGUGGGGAGCAAACA